ensembl:lncRNA
UAAUGAAAUUAAUAGGCUUUAAGACUGUGCUGAGUGCUGGGGAUUUGACAGAGAACAGGAUGGACACAGUUCCUGUCAACUUACAUUUUAGAAGGGGAGACAGACUCACAGCUAAUUGCUUAAUUAGAGUAGCUAUCAGCGCUACUGGGAAAACUGAGAGUAUCCUAUGAGAGCAUAUCACAGGAGACAUGACCUAAUGGAGAGAGGAAGGCUCAGAAAUCUUCUCUAAGGAAGAGACAUUUUAUCUGAAAGCCAAAAAUGACUAUGAGUUGCUGGAUAUCCCGAGGGCAGGGAGGAGAACAAGAGAGCAUUCCAGGCAGAAGCAGCAGCUCAUGCACAGGCUUAUGGCAUAAAAGAGCAGAUGUAAUUUUUGCGGAACUGUAAGAAGCUAAGGAAGUGCAAUGAGGAAGAGGGAUGGAUCACAGGUGAUGUGGACACACGGAGGCCUUGGUACACAUUUUGGACUUUAGCCUAAGAUCAUUGGUCCCACUUAACAGCAGGAAACAUGAGGCCGCCCUUCACAUUCUCUCUGUGGGAGAAAUGAGGAGAUGAAUCAUCAUUGUCUAAAAGUCAAUUGUUUGGUUUGUUAUGAAGAUCAUAUGAGACAACUGAUGUGAAAAGCUAUGAAAACUUCGUUAUGGAAAACAGAUACAUAUUAUCUAUAUUAGAUGAGUUUAUGAGUGGUUAGACCUUGGAAUUGUCAAUAUGCUACUCAUCCCCCCCAAUCUGAAUGGUCAACAGUCAAUAUACCUGGUGAAGGAGGAUGGUUCCCUCUCUAGGUGUGAGCAGAGUAUGCUGAGCCUUGUGGUUUUAAAUGAGAUAAAUUGAUACUUCAGUAUCCAACUAGCUGGCACUAGAGAGUCACUCAGGUUGGCAGGAAGUAGAAAGAAGAAAAGUUGAUGGCAUCAUUAAGAGAUGGAAAAACAAGAAUCCUUUGAAGCAGCUCUUAACACUCACAGCACAACUACCAUUUCCAGCACAAUGCAGAUACCAGCCCUGGCCAUUCCGCUUUCAUCAAGGUGCAUGCUGGUUUACUUUAUUGUCACUACAUCUUAUGUCGUUGCUUAUUUAAGACUACAAAAUAUGUGUAUAAAAAUACUGCAAAUGAGAAAAAAAUAGAGAAAAGGGCUUAAUUUUUAUAUGCACUAGAUCAUGGUUCUUCCUUGGAUGGCCCCGGUCUACAGACUAUCGUCACACAAAGUCACAUAGGACUACUGAGUUUCGAAUGUGAAGAUUAGGCUAAGAGUUAGAUGAGACCUCUCUUCUGAAUCCUCUCAGUUGCUUAUUCAUCCACUGGUUCAUCAAACAUUUAUUAUUCAUCAGACAUUUAUUAGUCAUAUGUAUGUAUGCAGAUACAGCAAUAAAUGGGCAAGCCUGAAUCCCUCCUAUUCUUAGCAGGCAGAGGCAUAGACAUAGUGAUAAAAGACCCUCAGUAGUAUGUGGCACUUUAAAAACAGUUGCUAUUUAUUAAGGCCCUGCUAUACAACUAGAACUACACUAGAAAAUAUACAUAUGUCCUCCAGACAUUAUAUACUAGGUUCUUGUUUCUAAUUCUAAUUUCAAGGUGAGGAAAAUGAGAUAUAGGCAGUUGAUUAACUUGCCUGAGGCUAACAGCUGCUAAACAGUGAAUACUGGAUUCAAAUCAAAACCAUUUGACUAUAAAGACCACCAGGCCCUAACAAAUCUUCAUUUGGCACUUAACUGAAUUUUCAUAUCAAACAGCAUUCUUAACAGAAUUAUUAUAUAUGUUAUUUAGUUGUCACAAAAACCCUGUGAGGAAGGAGGGUUGGCUUUCGUUGAGUCAUAGAAUAUGGGUUUGCCCAAAUGGAUUUCAAGGAUAUGGAAUGAGUUCCCCAGGAAAACCAGUGGAGAUCCAUGAGAACUAAUUGUUGAUAUUAGAGAUAAAGAGAGAAAAAAGAAAUGAUCCAGAAGACAAUAAGAUCAAGAGGAAACCUUCCUCCAUCACUACGUUGACACAAAAUGCUUAAUAUGGAAAAUCAGCUAUCAGAGUAUCCCAACUUCAGUGAUCAGACUAAAGCCAUAUUUUGAAUGAACCAUGUUUACCUUAAAAUUUAACCCAAAUUAAAAAGAAAAUUGAGUUGGUUGCUUAGAAACCUCUAGGUGUCUCACUAGAUACUAAAACUUUUGAAAAUUUAGAUCAAAAGGGGAAAAUGUAGGAAACAUAACAUCCAGUGGGGAGUCAUGGAGUCUGCAUGGUAGUUUAUUUGGGUCAAUUCUUCCUGGAUCUCAUUGUUCUCAUCUGUAAAAUGGUGAUGAUUUAUUAAAUAGCCUUUAAUUCUGUGAAUCACAUGAACUGGAGAAUCCUUUGAAUAGGUGAAUCUGUAAUAUAUUCACAAUGAAUAAAGGGUUUUCAUAUCCUCAUUUUUAUUUGAUUUUUAUAACAACCCUGAAAUAAGUCAAACAGACGCAAUUAUUCACAUUUUAUAGAUGAAAAAUCAGUCGUUCUCACAUGUUCACACACCUAAUCAGUGGUGAAGGUGGCACUCAAAUAAUUCAGGUCGUCUUUCUACUCCACUAAGGAUGAGUCCUUUCUAUCAGUAGUUAUUGACUGGCUAACCUGAGCAAGGCAUUAUAUUUUUGGCAUUAUAUAUAUUGUCCUGAGGAACCUACAGUCUAGUAGAGGCAAAUACACAACUAAAUUAGAGUUAAAAUGGCAAGUGUCAUAUGAAAGUGAGAACUUUAUGCUAGGAAAAUCAGGGAAGUUUUGUCAAACGGGUGGUUUGAAUUAGGCAUUGCAAGUAUGGAUAUAUAUUAGCAUGUUGAACAAGCAGAAAGAAACCUUCAAAAUAGAAGGACCAAUGGAGACAAAGUUUUAAAAAAAUGAUCAGGCAUUGCCUUUAUAUGAGUAACAGUCUGGCUGGAGCUAAUGGUGCCAGAAGGAGAAUCAUGACUUCAAGUGAGUUAGAGGAAGUUGUCUAAAGCAUUUGGAUCUACUCCCAUCAGCAUCCCUUUGAAGACGAUUAGGCCAAAAAGCCAGAAAAGCUUGUUGAGAAAUUCUUAGACAAAAUGACUCAAAUGCAACUACCAUUCUCUGAAAUAUAUUAGCUGUUCCCAC